GAUGAACGCUGGCGGCGUGCUUAACACAUGCAAGUCGAACGAAGCACUUAUGAUUGAGAUUUCGGUUGAUUGAUUAAGUGACUUAGUGGCGGACGGGUGAGUAACGCGUGGGUAACCUGCCUUGUACAGGGGGAUAACAGUUAGAAAUGACUGCUAAUACCGCAUAACCCGCUAAGGUCGCAUGACCUAGACGGAAAAGAUUUAUCGGUACAAGAUGGACCCGCGUCUGAUUAGCUAGUUGGUGAGGUAACGGCCCACCAAGGCGACGAUCAGUAGCCGGCCUGAGAGGGUGACCGGCACAUUGGGACUGAGACACGGCCCAAACUCCUACGGGAGGCAGCAGUGGGGAAUAUUGCACAAUGGGGGAAACCCUGAUGCAGCAACGCCGCGUGAGUGAAGAAGUAUUUCGGUAUGUAAAGCUCUAUCAGCAGGGAAGAAAAUGACGUACUGACUAAGAAGCACCGGCU
rnacentral:rRNA from 1 species